UACGUAGGGAGCGAGCGUUGUCCGGAAUUACUGGGUGUAAAGGGAGCGUAGGCGGGGGUACAAGUUGGGUGUUAAAUCUACCGGCUCAACUGGUAGUCGCACUCAAAACUGUAUCUCUUGAGUGAAGUAGAGGCAGGCGGAAUUCCUAGUGUAGCGGUGAAAUGCGUAGAUAUUAGGAGGAACACCAGUGGCGAAGGCGGCCUGCUGGGCUUUUACUGACGCUGAGGCUCGAAAGUGUGGGGAGCAAA
rnacentral:rRNA from 1 species